GACGAACGCUGGCGGCGUGCUUAAUACAUGCAAGUCGAACGGAAAGGCCCUGCUUUUGUGGGGUGCUCGAGUGGCGAACGGGUGAGUAACACGUGAGUAACCUGCCCUUUACUUUGGGAUAACUUCAGGAAACUGGGGCUAAUACCGGAUAGGAGCUCCUGCUGCAUGGUGUGGGUUGGAAAGUUUCGGCGGUUGGGGAUGGACUCGCGGCUUAUCAGCUUGUUGGUGGGGUAGUGGCUUACCAAGGCUUUGACGGGUAGCCGGCCUGAGAGGGUGACCGGCCACAUUGGGACUGAGAUACGGCCCAGACUCAUACGGGAGGCAGCAGUGGGGAAUAUUGCACAAUGGGCGGAAGCCUGAUGCAGCAACGCCGCGUGCGGGAUGACGGCCUUCGGGUUGUAAACCGCUUUCGCCUGUGAAGAAGAGUGAGUGACGGUAAUGGGUAAAGAAGCAACGGCUAACUACGUG
rnacentral:rRNA from 1 species